rnacentral:rRNA from 1 species
GGCUAUGUUAGCCGGGCGACGGUUGUCCCGGUUUAAGCAUGUAGGCUGAUUGUCCAGGCAAAUCCGGAUAAUCAAGGCUGAGGUGUGAUGACGAGGCACUACGGUGCUGAAGUAACAAAUGCCCUGCUUCCAGGAAAAGCCUCUAAGCAUCAGGUAACAUUAAAUCGUACCCCAAACCGACACAGGUGGUCAGGUAGAGAAUACCAAGGCGCUUGAGAGAACUCGGGUGAAGGAACUAGGCAAAAUGGUGCCGUAACUUCGGGAGAAGGCACGCUGGUGUGUAGGUGAAGUCCCUGCGGAUGGAGCUGAGACCAGUCGAAGAU